rnacentral:rRNA from 1 species
CCUACGGGAGGCAGCAGUGGGGAAUAUUGCACAAUGGGGGAAACCCUGAUGCAGCAACGCCGCGUGAGUGAAGAAGUAAUUCGUUAUGUAAAGCUCUAUCAGCAGGGAAGAAAAUGACGGUACCUGAGUAAGAAGCCCCGGCUAACUACGUGCCAGCAGCCGCGGUAAUACGUAGGGGGCAAGCGUUAUCCGGAUUUACUGGGUGGAAAGGGAGCGUAGCCGGCAGUGCAAGUCUGGAGUGAAAGGCGGGGGCUCAACCCCCGGACUGCUCUGGAAACUGUACGGCUGGAGUGCAGGAGAGGUAAGUGGAAUUCCUAGUGUAGCGGUGAAAUGCGUAGAUAUUAGGAGGAACACCAGUGGCGAAGGCGGCUUACUGGACUGUAACUGACGUUGAGGCUCGAAAGCGUGGGGAGCAAACAGGAUUAGAUACCCCGGUAGUC